AGUGAACGCUGGCGGUAGGCCUAACACAUGCAAGUCGAACGGCAGCACAGUAAGAGCUUGCUCUUACGGGUGGCGAGUGGCGGACGGGUGAGGAAUACAUCGGAAUCUACUUUUUCGUGGGGGAGAACGUAGGGAAACUUACGCUAAUACCGCAUACGACCUACGGGUGAAAGUAGGGGAUCUUCGGACCUUGCGCGAUUGAAUGAGCCGAUGUCGGAUUAGCUAGUUGGCGGGGUAAAGGCCCACCCAGGCGACGAUCCGUAGCUGGUCUGAGAGGAUGAUCGGCCACACUGGAGCUGGGACACGGUCCAGACUCCUACGGGAGGCAGCAGUGGGGAAUAUUGGACAAUGGGCGCAAGCCUGAUCCAGCCAUACCGCGUGGGUGAAGAAGGCCUUCGGGUUGUAAAGCCCUUUUGUUGGGAAAGAAAAGCAGCAGGUUAAUACCCCGCUGUUCUGACGGUACCCAAAGAAUAAGCACCGGCUAACUUCGUG
rnacentral:rRNA from 1 species